rnacentral:lncRNA from 1 species
CCCCCUCAUGUCAUAAAAUUUAAAGUUCAUUAAUCAAAGGGUGCAAGUAGACAUCUAUUUCGCUUUUUGGAUUAUGCGGGCCAGGAAUAACACAAUUCAGAAAUAUACAGGGAUUAAUCAUCAACAGUUCAGGAGAAAGAUUAUAAGGAGUGAUAAAUACAGGCCAACAUGAAUAUGGUGCACCACCAACUGAAAAAGAAGAGGACCCAUCCACGCAUAAUCCCAAUCGAAUGUUUUGUGGCUCAGCUGCAAAAUCUGGAUAAGUCACAUCAAAAUGCUUCCAAACCUCUCCCUC